GGUGUGGUAGCUCAGUGGCAGAGCGGCUGAUUGCAGAUCAGCAGGUCGGUGGUUCAAUCCCGCCCCACACCU